UCCCUUGUGGCUCAGUGGGUAAAGAAUCUGCCUGCAAUGCAGGAGACCUGGGUUCAAUCCCUGGGUUGGGAA
rnacentral:tRNA from 1 species